UCAAAUCUUGGAGGUGGUCUGUA
rnacentral:piRNA from 1 species